rnacentral:rRNA from 1 species
UACGAGGGGUGCGAAGCGUUGCUCGGAAUUAUUGGGCGUAAAGGGUUGGUAGGUGGUCUUGUUUGUCUAAGGUGAAAUCCCAUGGGCUUAACUGUGGAAGCUGCCUUAGAAACGGCAAGACUAGAGUCCUAGAGGGGUUUGUGGAAUUCCCGGUGUAGCGGUGAAAUGCGUAGAGAUCGGGAGGAACACCAGCGGCGAAGGCGGCAAACUGGAUAGGCACUGACACUCAACAACGAAAGCGUGGGGAGCAAACAGG